UCUCCCCACUUCUUGCUGAGCCGCACUUCCGGCGGCAAGCGGAAGCGGGGACUCGCAGCCGCCGGAGCCGGAGGCAUGGCGGGGGCGGGGCUGGGGGAGGCGCGUGCCGAGCAGGCCGGGGGGUCCGUCUCCCCGGCCCUUUGAACCCGGAGCGUACAGAGAUGUGAUAAUGGAUCAUCAUGUUUCCACCAUCAAACCUCGAAGGAUCCAGAACCAAAAUGUCAUUCACCGCCUGGAACGCCGACGGAUCAGCUCAGGCAAGGCAGGCACCCACUGGCAUCAGGUCCGAGUAUUCCACCAGAAUGUCUUCCCCAACUUCACGGUCGUCAAUGUUGAAAAGCCUCCUUGUUUCUUGCGUAAAUUCUCACCUGAUGGACGCUACUUUAUUGCUUUCUCUUCAGACCAGACGUCUCUCGAGAUCUAUGAGUACCAGGGCUGCCAGGCAGCCGAGGACCUACUGCAGGGCUAUGAGGGGGAGAUCCUGUCCAACGGCAAUGACCAGCGGUCGGUCAGCAUCCGCGGCCGGCUCUUUGAACGCUUCUUCGUCCUGCUGCACAUCACCAACGUGGCCGCCAACGGUGAGCACCUGAACCGGGAGUGCAGCCUCUUCACUGACGACUGUCGCUGUGUCAUCGUGGGCUCAGCUGCCUACCUCCCGGAUGAGCCGCAUCCUCCUUUUUACGAGGUGUAUCGCAACAGUGAGUCCGUGACCCCCAACCCCCGGUCCCCUCUGGAGGACUAUUCCCUCCACAUCAUUGACCUUCACACCGGCCGCCUAUGUGAUACGCGCACCUUCAAGUGUGAUAAAGUGGUCCUGUCGCACAACCAAGGGCUGUACCUGUACAAAAACAUCCUGGCCAUCUUGUCAGUGCAGCAGCAGACCAUCCACGUCUUCCAGGUGACCCCUGAAGGCACUUUCAUUGACGUGAGGACCAUCGGCCGCUUCUGCUACGAGGAUGACCUCCUCACCGUGUCAGCUGUCUUCCCUGAGGUGCAGCGGGACAGUCAGACGGGCAUGGCCAGUCCUUUCCGAGAUCCCUUCAUCAACUCCCUCAAACACCGGCUGCUGGUGUACUUGUGGCGCCGGGCGGAGCAGGACGGGAGUGCGAUGGCCAAGAGGCGCUUCUUCCAGUACUUUGACCAGCUGCGGCAGCUGCGCAUGUGGAAAAUGCAGCUUCUGGAUGAAAACCAUCUGUUUAUCAAGUACACUAGUGAGGACGUGGUCACCCUGCGGGUCACGGAUCCAUCGCAGGCAUCUUUCUUUGUGGUGUACAAUAUGGUGACAACAGAGGUGAUUGCUGUGUUUGAGAAUACAUCCGAUGAGCUUUUAGAGCUCUUUGAGAACUUCUGUGACCUCUUCCGUAACGCCACCCUGCACAGUGAAGUCCAGUUUCCCUGCUCAGCUUCUAGCAACAAUUUUGCAAGGCAGAUCCAGCGCCGGUUUAAAGACACUAUCGUAAACGCCAAGUACGGAGGGCACACGGAGGCAGUACGCCGACUGCUGGGGCAGCUCCCCAUCAGUGCCCAGUCUUACAGCGGUAGCCCCUACCUUGAUUUGUCUCUCUUCAGCUACGACGACAAGUGGGUGUCCGUCAUGGAGCGACCCAAGACUUGUGGAGAUCACCCUAUCAGAGCAGCCACCAAGUGCUUUUUGGAACUAAGAGAGAAAGAUAACCACUGGCAAACGAAGUUUUACUGGCAUACUGAGUUUCGUGGAAAAGGACCGCCUGUCAAACAACCAACAAGGCAAGUGAAGGAAGGGGAGACUGUCACAGGCCUCGGAAUAAAUGGAAGAAGUUGUAAUGCAACGAGAGGCCUUGUGUGACCAAUUCAUGCAAAGCACAGGACUAAUCAUUAAGGUGUGAACUGGUCAGAAACUUCCUGCUGACUCUGAGCAGAAGCCGGUUCACUUCCAGGGGCACAUGAUUCAAAAUAGAAAGAAAACGAAAACUAGAACCUAAGUCGAAUGAGAAAUACUAAUGACACUGGAUGUUCUUCAGUGUGCCCCUAAUACCUCUAAAUCCAAAAAAAAAAAAAAAAAAAAAAAGGCCUAAAAUGCUCUUUGAACAUGUAUAUGUUUUAAGGGUACUAGUAGGGUUUGUUUUAACUCCAUACGGUAAGACACACAGAGAUGGAAAUGACUGUCAUGAAGGAAGAAGUCUGUUUUACCUACACAUCUCUAGAAAUGGGGCAGGGCAUAUCAGGCCCCAUGGGGAGGCAGCUGGGUCAAUCGGGAGGUUGAGGAGCCAGGGGAAAAUGUGGGUGAGAGCCUUUAUUGUGGUUUCUACAACAGGCAAGCCAGGCUGAGAAGGCUUGGGAUUGGCUAAUCUGAGUAAUUUCGGUGAGCUCUGCGACAUAGGGGCUGGCCCUAGUUGUCUGAUACCUGGCUCUGAGGUGAUUAGGGCAGCUGGAUAGUGGCCCAGAGUGUGAGGGCACCAUAUAGGAGGUGGUUGGGGCAUUGGCUCCGGAUUGGUUGGUGUGCGUGUAACGGCACACUCCCAGGGAGUUGUUUGCUGUCUCUAGGAGUUAGCUGACCCUGGGAGGGGCAGUCCCUGUAAGGUCAGUGAGGUCCUAAUAGGUCAAAGCAUCAGAAAAUAAAAGGUACGGUUAAUACAGUACAAAAUGUCCUAAGUAUUAAGCGUCGUCAUGGUACGAUUAUCUAGGUUCCUUUGUUAGUGCCGCAUGGUUGGUAGCCCGCUUCCGGGAUGUCCUGCAGUGAUUCCGCCUCCUCGAUUCAUGCUCUUAGGUAGUUCCCUCCCACAUUGUAUCUGGGUUGGUCCAUGUGACCAAAACGACACAAGCGGAAGUGUGAGUGUGUCACUUUCAAGCCUCGGUUUAUAAACGGCAUCUUGGGGCCAGGCUUCUACAUCCACUCUACCCCCCGCUUCAACCGCUCACUCUGGGGGAGACCAGCUGUCCUGUCAUGAGGACAUUCGGACAGCCUUCUGGAGAGACCCACUUGGCUUCUUGCUAAUAGCCAUGGGAGAGAGAUACCUUGGAAGCGGGUCCUCCAGCCUCAGUCAAGCCUGCGGAUGACUGCAGCCUCAUGAGAAACCCUGAGCAAGAACCACCCAGCCAAGCCACUUCCAGAUUCUUGACUCUCAGAAAGCCUGUGAGAUAAAUGUGGUUUUAAGCUGCUGAGUUUGGGGGGGGGGGCAAUUUGCUAUGUAACAAUAUCUGAUGAACACACAUAAAUAAUGGCGUAUUUUGCAAUAUGACACCUUAUAUUUGAAAAAGGCCAUAUUACCCUCGUUUUAUAAAUAAGGAAACUAAUCUCCGAGACGCUAAGUGAUUUGCCCAUCAUUACUAGUUAAUAGCAGGUAAAACUAAUCCAGCCUGUGUCAGAAUUCACUUAAAUCCUGGAUUGAUAGAGAUCUAAACUGGGGUUUCACUGAUUACCAAUAACAUUCACAGGGAAUUCUUACGUUUCAGCGCCUCUGUAUCCACUCCCUCCCUUAGAGGGGUAUGACCAAUAAGGAUAUUUUUGAUUAAGGUUGAAAAUCCACAUAUUUCUCCCUCUUCACACGAGUAUGUUGGUUGGCUUAUUUGUUCAAUUUAUGUAUUAAAAAUGUUUUGAGGACCUACUAAGUGCCAGGAACUAGGAAUAUAAGAAUUCGUGUCAUAGCCCCAACCGUUUCUAGUCUGAAAAUAUUUCUGAAUACAGCCGUACCUCAGAGAUAGUGCCGGUUUGGUUCCCCAGCACUGCCGUAAAAUGGAUAUCACAAUAAAGCAAGUCAAAUGAAUGCUUUUGUUUCCCUGUGUGUAUAAAAGCUGUAUUUACACCAUGCAAUAGUCUGUUAAGUGUGCAGCAGCAUUAUGUCUAAAAAAAAAACAAUGCACAUACCUUGAUUUUAAAAAUGUCGCUAAAAAAUGCUGCCACCUGAGCUUUCAGUGAGCUGUAAUAUUUUUGCUGGUGGAGGGUCUUGCCUCAAUGUCGACGGUGCUGACUGGUGGCCGCUGAAGGUUGGGGUGGCUGUGGCAAUUUUCAAAAUAAGACAACGGAGAAGUUUGCUGCAUCAAUGGACUCUUCUAUCACAAACGAUUUCUCUGUAGCUGGUGAUGCCAUUUGAUGACUUUUUCCCACAGCAGAGCUUCUUUCAAAAUUGGAGUCUUCUCAAAACCCGCCACUGCGCUGUCAGCUGAGUGUAGGAAUCAGGGAGAGUGAGAAAGAGGGGGACAACUGGUUGAUGGAGCAGUCAGAACACACGACAAAACAAUUAUGUAACAUCAAAGAUCACUCAUCACAGAUUGCCACAACAAAUAUAAUAACAAUGGAAAAGUUUGGAAUAUUGCAAGAAUUACCAAAACGUGACACGGUGACUCAAAGUGAGCAAAAUGUUACUGGAACAAUGGAGCCGACAAGCUUGUAGACAUGAGGUUGCCGUGUAAAAUCUGCGGUGUCCGAGAGAUCCCGUAAAAUGAGGGGUGUCGUCGUGCCAUCGGGGAAGCUUCCAGAUAACCAGUGUCUGAAUGCGGAGGUGGGAGGAAGGAGCCAAGGGGUGGGUUGUUGUGCGGUGGGAGCCCAGGCUUCUCUGUGUCCUGUUUUAUUAACUCUGAUGAUGGAGUUCCGUCCCCCCCCAGGGAGCACUUACAGAUCCACAGGACAGCUGCCUGAAACUGCCACCUGGCCCUGCCAGCAGAAGCCGAGUUCCCAGGCCCCAUGCUGUGCGUCCCAUUCAUCGUCCUGAGACCAGAGAGAGAUCUCCUGGUCUUCAACUACUGUGUGUCUUCCAAACUUAGUAUUAAUUUCCCAGGAUUAGGAGAGGAGACUGUCACUUCACUUUAAUUAAUUGUUGAAAGAACAGAGAGGGGUCUAUAUUUCUACUAAAAGGAAAAUUUAAAAAACGGAGGGAAUGGAAAUAUUCUGAAUGGGGGAACCCAGAAGUAAAAUAAAGGUGGUUUUCACACUCA